rnacentral:rRNA from 1 species
AAACCAGCACCUCAAGUGGUCAGGAUGAUUAUUGGGCCUAAAGCAUCCGUAGCCGGCUCUGUAAGUUUUCGGUUAAAUCUGUACGCUUAACGUACAGGCUGCCGGGAAUACUGCAGAGCUAGGGGGUGGGAGAGGUAGACGGUACUCGGGAGGAAGUGGUAAAAUGCUUUGAUCUCUCGAUGACCACCUGUGGCGAAGGCGGUCUACCAGAACACGUCCGACGGUGAGGGAUGAAAGCUGGGGGAGCAAACCGGAUUAGAAACCCUAGUAGUCC